rnacentral:rRNA from 1 species
UGAGGAAUAUUCUGCAAUGGGCGAAAGCCUGACAGAGCAAUAUCGCGUGAAGGAUGAAGGCCUAUUGGUUGUAAACUUCUUUUCUUAAGGAAGAAGAUCUGACGUUACUUAAGGAAUAAGCAUCGGCUAACUCUGUGCCAGCAGCCGCGGUAAUACAGAGGAUGCGAGUGUUAUCCGGAAUUAUUGGGCGUAAAGCGUUUGUAGAUGGAUAUUUAAGUCUUAUGUUAAAGCUCUAAGCUCAACUUAGAAAAUGCAAAAGAAACUAUAUAUCUUGAGUAUAGUAGAGGUAAAGGGAAUUUUCAGUGGAGCGGUGAAAUGCGUAGAGAUUGAAAAGAACACCAAUAGCGAAGGCACUUUACUGGGCUAUUACUGACAUUGAGAAACGAAAGCUAGGGGAGCAAACAGG